GUCUGGUUAAUUCCGAUAACGAACGAGACCUUAGCCUGCUAACUAGUCCAGCCCAUUUUAUGGGCUUCGACUUCUUAGAGGGACUAUGCAUUCAAGUGCAUGGAAGUUUGAGGCAAUAACAGGUCUGUGAUGCCCUUAUAUGUCCUGGGCUGCACGCGUGCUACACUGAUGCAUACAGCAAGUGCCUAGCUCGCUAGAGUAUGGCAAUCUCGAAUAUGCAUCGUGAUGGGGAUAGAUCUUUGCAAUUAUAGAUCUUGAACGAGGAAUUCCUAGUAAAUGCAAGUCAUCAUCUUGCAUUGAUUAUGUCCCUGCCCUUUGUACACACCGCCCGUCGCUCCUACCGAUACCGGGUGGUCCGGUGAAUUUUCCAGACUGCUCACGCGGAAAAGAAAAUAAACCAUAUCACCUAGAGGAAGGAGAAGUCGUAACAAGGUUUCCGUAGGUGAACCUGCRGAAGGAUCA
rnacentral:rRNA from 1 species